rnacentral:rRNA from 1 species
GAUGAACGCUGGCGGCGUGCCUAAUACAUGCAAGUCGAGCGAACGGACGAGAAGCUUGCUUCUCUGAUGUUAGCGGCGGACGGGUGAGUAACACGUGGAUAACCUACCUAUAAGACUGGGAUAACUUCGGGAAACCGGAGCUAAUACCGGAUAAUAUUUUGAACCGCAUGGUUCAAAAGUGAAAGACGGUCUUGCUGUCACCUAUAGAUGGAUCCGCGCUGCAUUAGCUAGUUGGUAAGGUAACGGCUUACCAAGGCAACGAUGCAUAGCCGACCUGAGAGGGUGAUCGGCCACACUGGAACUGAGACACGGUCCAGACUCCUACGGGAGGCAGCAGUAGGGAAUCUUCCGCAAUGGGCGAAAGCCUGACGGAGCAACGCCGCGUGAGUGAUGAAGGUCUUCGGAUCGUAAAACUCUGUUAUUAGGGAAGAACAUAUGUGUAAGUAACUGUGCACAUCUUGACGGUACCUAAUCAGAAAGCCACGGCUAACUACGUGCCAGCAGCCGCGGUAAUACGUAGGUGGCAAGCGUUAUCCGGAAUUAUUGGGCGUAAAGCGCGCGUAGGCGGUUUUUUAAGUCUGAUGUGAAAGCCCACGGCUCAACCGUGGAGGGUCAUUGGAAACUGGAAAACUUGAGUGCAGAAGAGGAAAGUGGAAUUCCAUGUGUAGCGGUGAAAUGCGCAGAGAUAUGGAGGAACACCAGUGGCGAAGGCGACUUUCUGGUCUGUAACUGACGCUGAUGUGCGAAAGCGUGGGGAUCAAACAGGAUUAGAUACCCUGGUAGUCCACGCCGUAAACGAUGAGUGCUAAGUGUUAGGGGGUUUCCGCCCCUUAGUGCUGCAGCUAACGCAUUAAGCACUCCGCCUGGGGAGUACGACCGCAAGGUUGAAACUCAAAGGAAUUGACGGGGACCCGCACAAGCGGUGGAGCAUGUGGUUUAAUUCGAAGCAACGCGAAGAACCUUACCAAAUCUUGACAUCCUUUGACAACUCUAGAGAUAGAGCUUUCCCCUUCGGGGGACAAAGUGACAGGUGGUGCAUGGUUGUCGUCAGCUCGUGUCGUGAGAUGUUGGGUUAAGUCCCGCAACGAGCGCAACCCUUAAGCUUAGUUGCCAUCAUUAAGUUGGGCACUCUAAGUUGACUGCCGGUGACAAACCGGAGGAAGGUGGGGAUGACGUCAAAUCAUCAUGCCCCUUAUGAUUUGGGCUACACACGUGCUACAAUGGACAAUACAAAGGGCAGCGAAACCGUGAGGUCAAGCAAAUCCCAUAAAGUUGUUCUCAGUUCGGAUUGUAGUCUGCAACUCGACUACAUGAAGCUGGAAUCGCUAGUAAUCGUAGAUCAGCAUGCUACGGUGAAUACGUUCCCGGGUCU